rnacentral:lncRNA from 1 species
CUUGACCACAACAAUAAAAUUGGCUGAGAAGACUUGCUAACAUGACUGCAACUCCCUGCUUGUUCGCCACCUAAACUUGAGGGGGACAAAAGCAAAAGAGAAAGAGACUUUUUUCAAUGCUUUUGGAACUUUGGAAGCUAAAUGGUGGUGUGUCAGGACCACUCCAAAUAAAAGGCUUCUAGUAAAUGUGGCUAGCCAAUUUCAUAGGGC